rnacentral:rRNA from 1 species
GCCAGAAGACACAUCAUCCUGCAGCUCACAGCUCACAGCUGGCAGCCCACUAAAGCUCAGCAGGGUUAAUCCUGGUCAGUACUGGGAUGGGAGACCUCCUGGGAAGCUAUGGCUGCUGCUGGAA